GAUGAACGCUAGCUACAGGCUUAACACAUGCAAGUCGAGGGGCAGCAGGAUCUAGCAAUAGAUUGCUGGCGACCGGCGCACGGGUGAGUAACACGUAUCCAACCUGCCGAUAACUCGGGGAUAGCCUUUCGAAAGAAAGAUUAAUACCCGAUGGUAUAAUCAGACCGCAUGGUUUGAUUAUUAAAGAAUUUCGGUUAUCGAUGGGGAUGCGUUCCAUUAGGCAGUUGGUGAGGUAACGGCUCACCAAACCUUCGAUGGAUAGGGGUUCUGAGAGGAAGGUCCCCCACAUUGGAACUGAGACACGGUCCAAACUCCUACGGGAGGCAGCAGUGAGGAAUAUUGGUCAAUGGACGCGAGUCUGAACCAGCCAAGUAGCGUGAAGGAUGACUGCCCUAUGGGUUGUAAACUUCUUUUAUAUGGGAAUAAAGUUUUCCACGUGUGGAAUUUUGUAUGUACCAUAUGAAUAAGGAUCGGCUAACUCCGUGCCAGCAGCCGCGGUAAUACGGAGGAUCCGAGCGUUAUCCGGAUUUAUUGGGUUUAAAGGGAGCGUAGGUGGACAGUUAAGUCAGUUGUGAAAGUUUGCGGCUCAACCGUAAAAUUGCAGUUGAUACUGGCUGUCUUGAGUACAGUAGAGGUGGGCGGAAUUCGUGGUGUAGCGGUGAAAUGCUUAGAUAUCACGAAGAACUCCGAUUGCGAAGGCAGCUCACUGGACUGCAACUGACACUGAUGCUCGAAAGUGUGGGUAUCAAACAGGAUUAGAUACCCUGGUAGUCCACACAGUAAACGAUGAAUACUCGCUGUUUGCGAUAUACAGUAAGCGGCCAAGCGAAAGCAUUAAGUAUUCCACCUGGGGAGUACGCCGGCAACGGUGAAACUCAAAGGAAUUGACGGGGGCCCGCACAAGCGGAGGAACAUGUGGUUUAAUUCGAUGAUACGCGAGGAACCUUACCCGGGCUUAAAUUGCAUUUGAAUAAUCUGGAAACAGGUUAGCCGCAAGGCAAAUGUGAAGGUGCUGCAUGGUUGUCGUCAGCUCGUGCCGUGAGGUGUCGGCUUAAGUGCCAUAACGAGCGCAACCCUUAUCUUUAGUUACUAACAGGUCAUGCUGAGGACUCUAGAGAGACUGCCGUCGUAAGAUGUGAGGAAGGUGGGGAUGACGUCAAAUCAGCACGGCCCUUACGUCCGGGGCUACACACGUGUUACAAUGGGGGGUACAGAAGGCAGCUACCUGGUGACAGGAUGCUAAUCCCAAAAGCCUCUCUCAGUUCGGAUCGAAGUCUGCAACCCGACUUCGUGAAGCUGGAUUCGCUAGUAAUCGCGCAUCAGCCAUGGCGCGGUGAAUACGUUCCCGGGCCU
rnacentral:rRNA from 1 species